AUUGAACGCUGGCGGCAUGCCUCACACAUGCAAGUCGAACGGUAACGCGGGGCAACCUGGCGACGAGUGGCGAACGGGUGAGUAAUGCAUCGGAACGUGCCUGGUAGUGGGGGAUAACUGCUCGAAAGAGCAGCUAAUACCGCAUACGACCUGAGGGUGAAAGGGGGGGAUCGCAAGACCUCUCGCUAUCAGAGCGGCCGAUGUCGGAUUAGCUAGUUGGUGGGGUAAAGGCCCACCAAGGCAACGAUCCGUAGCUGGUCUGAGAGGACGACCAGCCACACUGGGACUGAGACACGGCCCAGGCUCCUACGGGAGGCAGCAGUGGGGAAUUUUGGACAAUGGACGCAAGUCUGAGCCAGCCAUGCCGCGUGCGGGAAGAAGGCCUUCGGGUUGUAAACCGCUUCUGUCAGGGAAGAAAUCUUCUGGGCUAAUACCCUGGGAGGAUGACGGUACCUGAAGAAUAAGCACCGGCUAACUACGUGCCAGCAGCCGCCGUAACAC
rnacentral:rRNA from 1 species